AGAGUUUGAUCCUGGCUCAGAUUGAACGCUGGCGGCAGGCCUAACACAUGCAAGUCGAGCGGAUGAGUGGAGCUUGCUCCAUGAUUCAGCGGCGGACGGGUGAGUAAUGCGUAGAUAAUCUGCCUUAGACUCUGGGAUAACAUCUCGAAAGGGGUGCUAAUACCGGAUAAGCCCACGGGGACGUGAGUUCUUGCGGGAAAAGGGGGCUUCUGCACAUGCUCUUGAUCUAAGAUGAGUCUGCGUACCAUUAGCUUGUUGGUAGGGUAAUGGCCUACCAAGGCGACGAUGGUUAGCUGGUCUGAGAGGAUGAUCAGCCACACUGGGACUGAGACACGGCCCAGACUCCUACGGGAGGCAGCAGUGGGGAAUUUUGCGCAAUGGGGGAAACCCUGACGCAGCAACGCCGCGUGAGUGAUGAAGGCUUUCGGGUCGUAAAGCUCUGUCUAGAGGGAAGAAGUGAUAUUCGGUUAAUACCCGGGUUUCUUGACGGUACCUCUGAAGGAAGCACCGGCUAACUCCGUGCCAGCAGCCGCGGUAAUA
rnacentral:rRNA from 1 species